UCUAGUGUGAGGGGUUAUGGCAGUAGUCUAGUGUGAGGGGUUAUGGCAGUAGUCUAGUGUGAGGGGUUAUGGCAGUAGUCUAGUGUGAGGGGUUAUGGCAGUAGUCUAGUGUGAGGGGUUAUGGCAGUAGUCUAGUGUGAGGGGUUAUGGCAGUAGUCUAGGGGUUAUGGCAGGGGAAGUCUAGGGGUUAUGGCAGGGGAACAGUGUUACAGUAGUCUAGUUGUGAGGGUUAUGGCAGUAGUCUAGGGGUUAUAGCAGGGAAACAGUGUUACAGUAGUCUAGUGUGAGGGGUUAUGGCAGGGGAACAGUGUUACAGUAGUCUAGUGUGAGGGGUUAUGGCAGGGGAACAGUGUUACAGUAGUCUAGUGUGAGGGGGUUAUGGCAGGGGAACAGUGUUACAGUAGUCUAGUGUGAGGGGUUAUGGCAGGGGAACAGUGUUACAGUAGUCUAGUGG
ensembl:lncRNA